CCAACUGACAUCUUCAACAUUACUCCUUGCACCUUUUCAACCUUCCUGAUGAGAGCCGCAUUGACGGAUAUCUGACAAAGAAAUGAUCAAUUAUAAUUUUGUUCUUCUGACAAAACAUGGCAAUCUUCUCGCUGUUUUCUGUUCAUCAUGGCUGACAGAGACAAAGCGAGACAAAUCUGAUGAACGGACGGACAUCUCCAGCAAUGACGGGCCGAUUGUUCCCCGGCGCUCCAGUCCACUGACUGUGUACAUCACGUGACAGCUGUCAUCCAUCAAAACCGAGGGAAAAAGUAUCAUUUAUUUCUCCAACCUUUGCUACAUCUGUCAGGGUUGUCUAUACAUUAUAUUUAUGGCCUCUUUCCUUCUCUCUUUUACAAUUCAACGAACAGAAUAUUCUACAAUGUUAUAGAACUGUUAACAAAUUAAUUACAGUCUUUUAAGGCAAAUAUUAUACCAUCUUCAUAAUCCAAUUAUAUUAAUUGAAAUGAUUGAUACAUUUACGUUUAAAUCAACCUGCAUUUGUGCAUAGAUUUACAAUUUAGUGUACUGCGCUAUUAAGACAGCGUUUUGUAUGUCAUUGGAUUUAUUUGUUAUUUUAUGUCUCUUUCAGGCAAUUUCGUUUAUAUCCAGGCACUGCCUUUCUUUCUAAGGAUCUGUUGGACGCAUACUUUUACCAUGAUUUUAAAUUUCUAUGCUUAGCAUAAUUAAUAAGACAAAAUUUUUAACUGAUGUUUGAUAACUGUGUAUAAUAUAAAAAAUGAUGGAUAUCGAUAUACAGUCAAACUUCGGUAUCUCGAACUGGAUGGUUCUGUUUAAAAAC